CCUAGUAACGGCGAGUGAACCGGGAAGAGCUCAAAUUUGAAAUCUGGCGUCCUCAGGGCGUCCGAGUUGUAAUCUAUAGAGGCGUUUUCCGUGCCGGACCGUGUCCAAGUUCCUUGGAACAGGAUAUCAAAGAGGGUGACAAUCCCGUACUUGACACGAUGACCGGUGCUCUGUGAUACGUCUUCUACGAGUCGAGUUGUUUGGGAAUGCAGCUCAAAAUGGGUGGUGAGUUCCAUCUAAAGCUAAAUAUUGGCGAGAGACCGAUAGCGAACAAGUACCGUGAGGGAAAGAUGAAAAGCACUUUGGAAAGAGAGUUAAACAGUACGUGAAAUUGUUGAAAGGGAAACGAUUGAAGUCAGUCGUGACUGAGAGGCUCAGCCGGUUCUGCCGGUGUAUUCCCCUCAGUCGGGUCAACAUCAGUUUUGUCCGGUGGAAAAGGGCGGUAGGAACGUGGCACCUCCGGGUGUGUUAUAGCCUGCCGUCGCAUACAUCGGGUGAGACUGAGGAAUGCAGCUCGCCUUUAUGGCCGGGGUUCGCCCACGUCCGAGCUUAGGAUGUUGACAUAAUGGCUUUAAACGACCCGUCU
rnacentral:rRNA from 1 species